GCGGCAGACGCCUGGAGCGGGAGGUAGGUCGGGAGAGGGCGGGGCCUGGGAGCGGGCGACGAGCCCGGGGGCAGGGGGCGGGGCCUAGCGCGGUCGGAAUGGGGCUGAUGCUCCGAGCCCGAGGCUGGCCGGAACCUGGAGCAGGGGGCUGGGAAUGGGGAACCUGGAGCCGGGAACGGAGGGAGGGGACUCGGGAACCCGGAACGGGGACUUGGGAUCCGGGAACGGGGAGUGCGGGGGCGGAGAGCCCGGGGGCCGGGACUGGGAGGCGGGGAGCGGGGAGCUGCGCCGAGGCGGAUCCCCGGCCGCGCGGGUGGGGUCGGCUCUCAGCCGCGUGCCCCACCCAGACCCCAGGCCCCGCAGUCCAGACCAGCCUCCGCCCGGCUCCGUCCUCUCCAGGCGCCUGCCUGUCGGGCGAGCUUCGAGAGCAGCCAGCAAAACCCUGGAAAAUCCUGUCAGUGACAAUCACAAUGAGAAUCACAGUUUUCUUACCAGGUUUUUUCCUCUGAUUAUGAGUAAUACGUGAAUAUCAAUAAUUUCACUAUCGAGGAAUAACUACUAUCAACGUUUAUGGGUAGUUCCUUACAGUACCUUUACCACAUAGUUUCGUUAUAUAUAUUAUUUUUCCUUGUAUAUAUUGCCUUUUUUCCUUUUUUUUUUUUUUACAGAAUUCUGAAUCACAGUAAUUCAACUUUAAGUAGGUAACCAGAUGUCUGGGAAAAUAAUAGUGCAUGAGAUAGCACCUGGCAGCAUUAGUUAAUAAGAAAUUAGGCACCUCGUGCCUAACAAAGGAAAUUGUUAAUUUAUGGUAUAAACGUACAACACAUUCCUCUAUUCGUUAAACAAACAUGUUGAUUACAAUGCGAAUGGAGCCCUUUGGGAGGUGCCCCAGAUGCAGUGAGGGAAAGCAGCAGUAUUUCAAUUCAGGGGGUGAUUAGUAAUGCAUGGGAAAUAUGAAUGAGGCAGGUUCUGUUUCCUUUCCAGGAAUUUAUAAUCUAGUAGAUGAGGCAGGGAAGAAUAUUUCAGUAGGCGAAGCAGUACCUUUUUUGUUUGGACCAGAAAGGUAGAACUAUGCUGUAAACUCAUUGCAAGCUUGAAUUCUGGAGCAGACAGAAUUCAACCAUUUUUCUUUUCAUACACCAGGCUGAUUUUAAUCUCAUUAUGUCUGUAAGAUGUGCACCAUAAUGACUUCCAUCCUUCCUGGGAAAGCAGCACCCCAUUUUGUAAGAUGCCUUGUCAUCUGUAAUAACUAGAGGGAGGGAUUACUUAUGCCUCUUUAUAGUGCCUGCUGCAGUGGACAGAACUGAGACACAGAUAAGCUGAGAACUUGCACAAGGACAAACGGUGUGCCUGGGGCAGAGCUGAGAAUAAUUGCCAGACCUAGUUUCCAAUCCAGUUAGAUUUUUUUAACUUUGGAAUAUAUUUUGCAUAAAGAGCCUUAAGGCCUAGGAAAAUAAAGUAGGUUAUAGUGGCACCAUACUUAGAAUGCCGUCUUUCCUCAAUUAAGGUUACUUUCUGGUUUUCAGAGUUGCUAGGAGUAUGUAGAUAUUUAUUUAUUUUUAUGUACAUAUUUAAGUAGCUGAAAUAGAUCGUCAACCUAGAUAUGAUGAUGGGUCCCUAAGAUAGCCUGCAUGAUAAUUGUGGAUGGAACAGUUAUAAAGGGUGUCCAAUGAGUACUCCAAAUUCCAGUGUUCUGGUUGGUUGGUCCCAAGUUUUGCCCAACUCAUUAUUACCAAUUAUGGAUUUUCUUUGGGAUUCUUGUUUUUACAAAGCUCUGGGGGAAAGGGAGGAAACCAGAUUCAUCGCUCAUGUGCUUUGAUUUAUUUGACAAAGCAACCAUAAAUAAGUGACAGAACAUUCUCUUCUUGACCAAACUACUCUGUCUCCCCCCAAAUUUUGACUAGGCUUAAAUGUUUGGAUUUGUGUAUUUGUCUCUGCAUUGUCCAGUUUUAGCAAGACUCCUGCUAAGUUGGUUGAGCUAGAAUUCCCAUCCCCCAUAUCAGAUCGUCUUUGAUAUCUAAUCAGUUUCUUCACCCCCCAGCCACCCCCAAGUGGUGUUGGCUCAACCCAACCUGCCUUCAGCAAGAAUCCUGCUGGGUCAGUUUAGCCAGAACCUGACGGUUAGCUGACCCUGCUGUUUUGUCGUAGUAAUUUUCCACCCUCCAUCGCCCACCCAGGGUAAAGAAGUUGCCCAUGCUGUUCUCAGAGCCGAGUCCGAUCUCUCUCCCCAGAGUCCGAUCUCUCUCCCCACUGCAAGCAAAAGUGGGGUCCUGGUUCCCACUUGCCGUAGCCUCCUCUGAGUGCAGUCCACCUUACUAUGCUUUAACACGUCUCACUAAACGAUGUUUUUGACUAAUAGUCUUUUUCUUUAACAUAAGCAAACUUGUGUAUUUGAAGAGGUGAUUCAGAAACAUGAAAGAAAAGAGGAAGACCCAAAAUCCCAAAGUAUCAAAAUAAGAUAACACAACCCCCACGCCCUCCCCCCCCCCCCCAGCCCCGCACUUAGGAUUGCAUUGUGUGAGAAUUGCUUAAAUGGGCUCAGGUGAAGGCUCGACCCCUCAGGUGAAGGGCUCGGGUGAAGGCACGUCCCAGUCAGAGGUGCGCAGAACUGCCCACACGCUGUGGAGACAUCAGUGGGGCUGUUUUCACACUUGGAACAGGUCACGGUCAACGCCGUGUCAUGGGAGGGGAGACUGCAGAAGAAAGCAGGACCCAGGCUAUGCACCACGCUAAGACACUGUCCUUCAUUACUGCAAGUGAGAGGCUUUGCUGUGAUGCCAGGUGAUGGGUGAGGGCUCAGAGGAAGACCCACAUCCGAUUUGCAGCUGGCUGUGUGUGGGUAGCCCACUGGGACAGUGCCCUCACCCUGGGCUGCAAAGUGGGAGCACAGCCUUACUGUUCUCUCUCGUCCAUGACCCCCCAUCUGCCUCCCUCCAUGGGGCUAGAUCCAUCUUUUAAGAAGGCAAAUACACUUAAAAUUGGACACCGAGCAGUGUCUCGGUCUGUUUCAGCCUGCAAAACAAAGUACCACAGACUGGGGGGUUUAAACAACAAACUGGAAGACUGCGAGUCUGAGAUCAGGAUGCUAGCAGGGACCCUCUUCCUGGAUCACAGAUGAUAUCUUCUUUCUGUGAACCCACUCAGUGCAGAGGGAACCACCUCUCUGGUGUCUCUUCUCUGCGGGGCACUGACCCCAUCAUAGACGUUAUCCCACCCUAACCACCUCCCAAAGGCCCCACCUCCAGAUAGCAUCACGUUGGCGUGAAUUUCGGGGACACAGGCAUUCAGUCCAUAGCAAACGACUUCCCAGACUCCUGUCAUUCAGAUACCACUUCCACGUGGAUUUUUACCACUUCUGCGUGGACUUUUGUAUCCACAGAGGAUCUGUGCUAUUAAUAAUUUUCUUAAAAUAACUUCAUUUUUUGGAAUUACUGACUUUACGUUCUCUUUAUUAAGAAAACACCAAUGAGUUUAUGGUGCCAACUACAUUUUCCUCAUUUAAGCAAAUCCACAAUAAAAUAACACGUGUUCACGUGCUUCCCAAAUCAGUUCCCAUGGUUGGUGGUGCUACACCACACUUUGGAAAUCGCUCCUUGGGAGCAAAAUCCCAGAUCUGUUCCUUGGCCUGUUGACAUGCCUACAGCCAGGGCCUGCCUGCCUCUCUGGACUUGUCUGUCCUCCUCACAGGCUGUCCAGGGAGCCCUUGAAACCAAGGGUGCUUCUGCUGAAGGCUCCCACCCCAUCCCCAGCGCUUCUUUCCCCUGUUGUGACCAAAUCAUGCCUCCCUGAGUGCUUUAGAAUGUGACCUGAUUUGGAAAUGGAAUCAUUGUAGAUGUAACUAGUUAAGAUGAAGUCAUAGUGGGGCAGGCCAGCCCCAAACCCAGUGUGACUGGUGUCCUUAUAAAAAGGGGCAUCUGGACACAGAUGCACACAUGGGGAGAACACCAUGAGGCAGAGAUGGAGGGGUGCAGCAGAAGUCAAAGAGCCCCAAGGAUGGCCAGCAACACCAGAGGCAGGGGGACACCUGGGGCAGGUCCCCCGUCACGACCUCCUUGGGAGGUCCAGCCCUGCCCACACCUGGCUUCCAGAGCGAGAGGGCUUAGAUUCAGGUUGCCCAAGCCCGGUUUGCUGGGCUUGAUUGUGGCAGCCUCAGGAUACUUGCCCAGGACACAGGCUCUGCUGGGGAGGCUCCCCCACUGCCCACUGUCCCCUGCCCUCUGCCCACAAUCCAAUCCAAGUGCCUCUCCUUCCAGAAGCCUCCACCAGGCAACAGCUGGAGCCUCCUUCCCCUCUACUCCAGGGUUCCCAGGUGUCUGGCAUUUUAGUUUCCUCCCACCCUUGGAUGAAAACAUUCAAAAACCCAGCAAGUAAAUGUUACUCAUUUUUAGUCACAAAAACUUGAUUGUUAACAGGCCUUUUCUGAGAUGGCCUCUCCACUUCCAACAGGCCUCUUGACGAGUAGAAACAUGCUCCAAGCUUGCUUCUGGUGGCUCCAGGUGGGAAGGCAGAGAGAGGUGGCCUCUCUCUGCUCUGAAAGGGAGCCCCCAGGCAGGGCCCAGAGCUUGCUCUGCAAACCAGUGUCCUGUUGAAUAAAGUACUGGAUGGAUGCCUUUCUCUCUCACUCCCUCCACCUCUGUCUCUAUGUCUGUCUGUCUCUCCAUAUUUCCAUCAUUGUCUCUCUGUCUCUGUCUCUUACUCUCCAUCAUCACUGUAUCUUUCCUGUGAGGACAGAGCCCCACCCAUGCUGAGCCUACAAUACAAAUUUGUUGAGUGACAGGAGGCUAAAGGCUGAAACUCAGAUCAGUUGGCAGCUCCUUGUCAGGAAGGGGAGACCUGCUGUGGACCAAGGAUGUCAGUUAUUGAGCAUCAAGAUUCUGGAAUCUUACUGAUUGUCCUGCAUCUUACUCCUGUCUUGUGAAAAAAGUGAUUAGUGCUGUAAUGGGGAAAAUUCAAUUUUUUUUCCUUCUGAUGUAGGAAAAAAACCAGUUCUUCCUCACUGUGUUUCUUCCCCAUGUGUCUCCUUUGCCUUCACAGAGAACACUUCGCUUCUGAUGCUUGUGGUCACCAAAUGCGUGGAGGUUUUUUCCCCCACACAAUUCUAACACCAGCUCAAGUCUGACACCAUCAACCUGGAGAUGGGACCAGACCCCACAGGUUAAGGGCUCAGCCCCACAGGACUGCCCCGACCUCCACUUCAGCUGCCACUGUCCCCUGUGCUUCUGACUGACUCACUACAGACGGGAGGCUCCCACGAGCCCCUCCUAGGGUUAGUUUGCUAAAGCAGCUCACAUAAUUCAAGGGAACGCUUAGAAGUUUAUUAAAGGACAUGAAAAAAAAAACCACAAAUCAACAUCCAGGUGAAGGGAUGACAGGAAAAGGUCAGGAAGGGGCUCAAAUCCACAAACCGUGAGAUCAUGACCUGAGCCAAAACCUAGAGUUGGAUGCUUAACCAACUGAGCCACCCAGGCGCCCCAAUGACUUCAACCGAACAAAAAGGACCAGAAAUGAAGUAAAAGAUAAGCUAUAGGUCCACGGAAAUAGACUGCAAGUCAUUUAACAAAGGACUUAUAUUCAGCAUAUACAAAGAACUUCUACAAAUCAAGAAGAAAGACAUGAACAACAAAAAUGGGCAAAGAUAUGAAUAGGCAAUUCACUGGAAGGAAACACGAAUAUCCAAUAACCAAGACAUUCAGUAACCAGUGAUUUCUCCUGUCCUACUGAAUGGAUUGAUCCUGUCCACCGGCAAAAAUUUGCAUGGAUGCUCUACCUUAGGACAACAGCUCUCUUUCCCAUAUGUAUCUUUCCAGCGACUGUGCAUAUUUCUAUUUCCCUUCUUCCCUAAUGUCAAAGAAUUUAUAUAUAGUUGACACUUGAGCAAUGGAUCUUGGGCACUGACCACCACCACACAGCUGAAAAUCCACAUAUGACAUUGACUGCCCCCCUCUGCAACUUUACUACUAAUAGCCUACUGCUGAUCAGAAGCUUAACCAGUAACAUAAACAACACAGAUUUUGUGUCCUAUGUACUAUAUACUUUAUUCUUACGAUAAAGUAAGCUAGAGAAAAGAAAACCUUCUUAAGAAAAUCACAAGGAGGAGGAAAUACAUUUACAGUGCUGUGCUGCAAAAGACCUGUAUGCAAGUGCACCAGUGCAGUUCAAGCCUGUGGUGUUCAAGGGUCAGCUGUAGUUUUUGCCUUGCACUCCAGCAGGGCAUCAGUCCCCAGCAGUCCUGUGGAAUAGCUCCUGGCAAACUCAUCACAGCCUCCGGGUUUGCCAACCCACAGUCUCUGCUAAUCUUGUGUUUCAGGGUGUGGAGUGGCUGGGCAGCUGGCUCCUCUUGGGAACAUGAUGUCCUGGCUUCUGUGACUCUGCAGCUUUCCUGUGCAAUCUCCAAAUGCUCAAGGGCCCCAGGCCUCGGUCCUAGACCCUUUACUCUCUU
rnacentral:lncRNA from 1 species